ACUACGGGCGGCAGCAGUGGGGAAUAUUGGACAAUGGGCGCAAGCCUGACCCAGCAACGCCGCGUGAAGGAAGAAGGCUUUCGGGUUGUAAACUUCUUUUGUCAGGGACGAAGCAAGUGACGGUACCUGACGAAUAAGCCACGGCUAACUACGUGCCAGCAGCCGCGGUAAUACGUAGGUGGCAAGCGUUAUCCGGAUUUACUGGGUGUAAAGGGCGUGUAGGCGGGGAAGCAAGUCAGAUGUGAAAACCACGGGCUCAACCUGUGGCCUGCAUUUGAAACUGUUUUUCUUGAGUGCUGAAGAGGCAAUCGGAAUUCCGUGUGUAGCGGUGAAAUGCGUAGAUAUACGGAGGAACACCAGUGGCGAAGGCGGAUUGCUGGACAGUAACUGACGCUGAGGCGCGAAAGCGUGGGGAGCAAACAGGAUUAGAUACCCCUGUAGUC
rnacentral:rRNA from 1 species